UGUCACUAAACCCUGUUCACAAUGCACCCUUUAUUAAAAAUCGCAUUCGUUUUCUUUUCUUUUCCCAUGAAGUCUCAUUUCCUGCCACUGUAACGUUCAGCACCCAACAUUCUGUUUGUUUGUUUUGGCCAGCUGCAUUUAGGAGUAUUUGACUUUGUAAACACAAUCGACUCUGACAGAUUGCCGAGCUUCAUUCUCGUCCGGAUAUCCAGAGGGGAUUCCUGAUUUAGAUGGACACCGCGCUAGAGACAAAGACACAAAAAAACAGGACGUGUAAAGUCAACCAAAGGUGCGGUUUUCUUUCGCCCAUUGCUUCUACCCCCCCAUCAUUUUAUUUAUUACAUUCUUCUUUCUUUUCGUUUUAACUCAGCAUGUCCUUUCCAAAGAGACCCAGGAGAAUUCCAAUGUCAUUGUAUUAACUCUGUGCUCACAAUUGGAUUUUUAUUUUCUUUAUGUCCCUUGUAGAGUGGGCCUUGGGCUUUCAUCUUGAAAGGUCAAUAUGUGCUUAUGGUGCAUUUAUUUAUUCAUUUAUUUAUUUUCAGCCAACUUUCCUUUUUCAGUGCCUGUACUGAGCCAUAAAACACACCGAAACCUG